UGGGGAAUAUUGGACAAUGGGCGCAAGCGUGAUCCAGCCAUGCCGCGUGUGUGAAGAAGGCCUUUUGGUUGUAAAGCACUUUAAGCGAGGAGGAGGCUACUUGGAUUAAUACUCUAAGAUAGUGGACGUUACUCGCAGAAUAAGCACCGGCUAACUCUGUGCCAGCAGCCGCGGUAAUACAGAGGGUGCGAGCGUUAAUCGGAUUUACUGGGCGUAAAGCGUGCGUAGGCGGCUUCUUAAGUCGGAUGUGAAAUCCCUGAGCUUAACUUAGGAAUUGCAUUCGAUACUGGGAAGCUAGAGUAUGGGAGAGGAUGGUAGAAUUCCAGGUGUAGCGGUGAAAUGCGUAGAGAUCUGGAGGAAUACCGAUGGCGAAGGCAGCCAUCUGGCCUAAUACUGACGCUGAGGUACGAAAGCAUGGGGAGCAAACAGG
rnacentral:rRNA from 1 species